rnacentral:rRNA from 1 species
CAUGGAGGGUGAGAAUCCCGUUCAUGGUUAAUCUUAAGGAAGCUCUACGAUACGUUUUCCAAGAGUCGAGUUGUUUGGGAUUGCAGCUCAAAAUGGGAGGUAAAUUUCUCCUAAGGCUAAAUAUUGGCGAGAGACCGAUAGCGAACAAGUACCGUGAGGGAAAGAUGAAAAGAACUUUGAAAAGAGAGUUAAACAGUACGUGAAAUUGUUGAAAGGGAAACGAUUGAAGUCAGUCAUACCAACGGGAAAUCAACCUUUUGAGCUCGGUCUCGUGGGUUUUGAAGAGUUUCAAAGCCUUCGGAUUCGCGAGUUUGGGAUCUCUUGGUGUACUUUUUCGUACGGUUAGUCAACAUCGGUUUUUGAAUGUCAUAAAAUGACUGGAGGAAUGUAGCUUUGAUCUCGUAUUAAAGUGUUAUAGCCUUUGGUAGAUGUGAUGUUUGAGACCGAGGAUUGCAACGGAUACCCUUUAGGGCUAUUCGUCUGAUCUCUGAUACGUUGCCUUGAUGUUGAAAGCUUGCUUAUGAUGUUAGGGUAUUACGGUCAAAAGGUUAGAACGAAUUACAUUCGUUAAGGAUGUUGACGUA